CUUCAGCUCCCCUGACUUCCUAGACUCUGGACACCCUUGUGCUGGGCCAGUGAUGGCUGCCUACUUGGUUGCUGUGCUGGAACCCAUUUUUACAUCAAGGGAUGCCAUGGGGUCGAGCUGGCGGCAGACUGCAGCAGUAGUUUGUUAUUAGUGCUCAGCCUCUGGCAGGCUAAGCAGUGCACAGAAAAGACUGCUGUGACCGCAGGUCAUCUCUAGGUUCUUUUGUUAUUGGGUAAACAGUGCAGGAAGGGAAAAAGUCCACUGUGGUCUGUACACGCUGAUGUUCUGAGAAGAAGAAAUCAAUGAAUGCUGGUGCUCAGCUCUUUUUCUCCAUUUAUACAGUCCAGGAUCCCACCCCAGGGAAUGGUGCAGCCCUCAUUUAAGAUUAAGAGAAAGCAUAGGAGAAGGACCAAGAAAUGAGAUCUGCUUUUAGGCAUGCCCAUUCUCACAAGGUUCUAUCAUCAGGAAAGAAAAAGCAUCCCUUGUACAUGAGAUGAAGAUGACUGUGGAGGGUCCUGCAAGAGCCAAUAAGAGGGAUCAUUACUUGGUGGGCACUAAGGGGGCUAUGGGUUCUGUGGAACUUGCUACUGCAGGAAAAGUUGGGAAUGCUCGUAGCCUAAAACUGGCCUGCACUAUAGAAGAUGGCUGACAGUUGCAUUUGAACCCACAUCUAAGAUCCUUCACUCCACCGGCUGGGUUCUGAGGACAAGAAAACCAAAGGGAUCUGAGGGCAGCUAUGGUGCCCUGUCCAUCCCCUUGUUCUAGCCUGAGAAAAUGGAGCCCUCAGAAAGCCACACACCUGUGUGUGUUUGUCCUGUGUCUACCCCAGAGCUGUCCUCUUUCAGGGUCCCAGGGAGCCUGCUGCUGAGGGAGAAGUUAUGGAUGCUCCUAGCCUAAAACUGACCUGCAUUAUGGGUGAUGGCUGACAGCUGCAUUUGGACCCACAUCUAAGACCCUUGACAGUACAGGCUGGGGUCUGUAUGCAAGAAGACCAAAGGGAUUCGGGAGCAGUUAUGGUCCCCAAUCCAUCCCCCUGUUCUAGCCUAAGAAAAUGGAGCCCUCAAAAGAUCACACACCUGAAUGCAUUUUGUCCUGUGUCCACCCCAGAGCUGUCAUCUUCCAGGGUCCCAGGGAACCUACUGUUUGAGAUGUUGGAGAUGUUCCUAGCCAGCCUAAAACUGGCCUGCACCAUGGAAGAUGGCUGACAAUUACAUUUGGACCCACAUCUAAGAUCUUUGACUACACAGCCUGGGAUCUACAGACAAGAAGAUCAAAGGGAUUCAGUGCCAGCUAUCCAUUCCCCUGCUCUGGCCUGAGAAAAUGAAGCCCUCGGAAGGUUACACACCAUUGUGUGUUUUGCCCUCUGUCCACCCUGGAGCUCUAUUCUUCCAGAUAUGAAGCCAGUGCUGCUCCUAGGCCCACACUGAGUGCUGAAGGUGGAUUUGAAGGACCUCGACCUGUCAGACAAAUAUUCCAAGCUGAUGGGAAGGACUUCAAGGCUGGCAUAUGAUAGGUGAAGUAGGCGAUGGAUAAAUCCGGUUGAUCGGGAGAAAGCACCAGGACACAGAUAAAACUCUAGCGGAACAGAGUUUAUUAGCAAAGGAACACAGGGUCCCAGGCAGCGUGUUGGGAAUGAUCCUAGCCUAAAGCUAGCCUGCACUAUGCAAGAUGCCUGACAGUUGAAUUUGGACCCACAUCCAAGAUCUUUGACUGCACAGGCUGGGACCUGUGGACAGGAAGACCAA